rnacentral:tRNA from 1 species
UAUGAUUAAGAAGAAUAAUUCUUAUAAAUAGAUUUACAAUCUAUUGCCUAAACU